rnacentral:rRNA from 1 species
UGCAAGUCGAGGGGUAGCAGCGGUAGCAAUACUGGCUGACGACCGGCAAACGGGUGCGGAACACGUACGCAAUCUGCCUCUGCCUGGGGUAUAGCCCACUGAAAAGUGGAUUAAUCCCCCAUAGAAUAUUUAAGUGGCAUCACUUUGAAUAUUAAAACUCCGGUGGACAGAGAUGAGCGUGCGUCCUAUUAGGUAGUUGGUAGGGUAACGGCCUACCAAGCCGACGAUAGGUAGCUGAUGUGAGAGCAUGAUCAGCCACACGGGCACUGAGACACGGGCCCGACUCCUACGGGAGGCAGCAGUGAGGAAUAUUGGUCAAUGGACGCAAGUCUGAACCAGCCAUGCCGCGUGAGUGAAGAAGGCCUUCGGGUUGUAAAGCUCUUUUGUCAGGGAAGAAAAGGGUCUGGCUAAUAUCUAGGCCUCAUGACGGUACCUGAAGAAUAAGCACCGGCUAACUACGUGCCAGCAGCCGCGGUAAUACGUAGGGUGCAAGCGUUAAUCGGAAUUACUGGGCGUAAAGCGUGCGCAGGCGGUUUUGUAAGACUGUCGUGAAAUCCCCGGGCUCAACCUGGGAAUGGCGAUGGUGACUGCGAGGCUAGAGUUUGGCAGAGGGGGGUAGAAUUCCACGUGUAGCAGUGAAAUGCGUAGAUAUGUGGAGGAACACCGAUGGCGAAGGCAGCCCCCUGGGUCAAAACUGACGCUCAUGCACGAAAGCGUGGGGAGCAAACAGGAUUAGAUACCCUGGUAGUCCACGCCCUAAACGAUGUCUACUAGUUGUCGGGUUUUAAUUAACUUGGUAACGCAGCUAACGCGUGAAGU